AUUAAAAACCAAUGCCCUUCGGGGCUCCUUGGUGAUUCAUGAUAACUUCGCGAAUCGCAUGGCCUUGCGCCGGCGAUGGUUCAUUCAAAUUUCUUCCCUAUCAACUUUCGAUGUUAGGGUAUUGGCCAAACAUGGCUGCAACGGGUAACGGAGGGUUAGGGCUCGACCCCGGAGAAGGAGCCUGAGAAACGGCUACUACAUCCAAGGAAGGCAGCAGGCGCGCAAAUUACCCAAUCCCGACACGGGGAGGUAGUGACAAUAAAUACUGAUACAGGGCUCUUUAGGGUCUUGUAAUUGGAAUGAGUACAAUUUAAAUCCCUUAACGAGGAACAAUUGGAGGGCAAGUCUGGUGCCAGCAGCCGCGGUAAUUCCAGCUCCAAUAGCGUAUAUUAAAGUUGUUGUGGUUAAAAAGCUCGUAGUUGAACCUUGGGCCUGGCUGGCCGGUCCGCCUCACCGCGUGCACUGGUCCGGCCGGGCCUUUCCCUCUGUGGAACCCCAUGCCCUUCACUGGGCGUGGC
rnacentral:rRNA from 1 species